GAUGAAGAACGCAGCGAAAUGCGAUACUUGGUGUGAAUUGCAGAAUCCCGUGAACCAUCGAGUCUUUGAACGCAAGUUGCGCCUCAAGCCAUUAGGUUGAGGGCACGUCUGCCUGGGCGUCACAUAUCGUUGCCUGAUGCCAGUUUCCUCGUGAUGGGUGACUGUGCAGGGCGAAUGAUGGCUUCCCGUGAGCAUUGUUGCCUCAUGGUUGGUUGAAAAUUGAGUCCUUGGUAGGGAGCGCCGUGAUAGAUGGUGGUUGAGUGACGAACGAGACCCAAUCAUGUGAGACCCCUACCGAAUUUGGCCUUCAUGACCCACAUGCGUCUUUGGAACGCUCAUGACGAGACCUCAGGUCAGGCAGGGCUACCCGCUGAGUUUAAGCAUAUCAAUAAGCGGAGGA
rnacentral:misc_RNA from 1 species